rnacentral:rRNA from 1 species
UACGUAGGUGGCAAGCGUUGUCCGGAUUUACUGGGUGUAAAGGGCGUGUAGGCGGGGAUGCAAGUCAGAUGUGAAAUCCCGCGGCUCAACCGCGGAACUGCAUCUGAAACUGCGUCUCUUGAGUGUCGGAAGGGAAAGUGGAAUUCCUAGUGUAGCGGUGAAAUGCGUAGAUAUUAGGAGGAACACCGGUGGCGAAGGCGGGUAACUGGACUGCAACUGACGCUGAGGCGCGAAAGUGUGGGGAGCAAACAGGAUUAGAUACCCGGGUAGU